UGUUGGAGCACAGGAAGCCAGCUCUGAAACAUUUGGACUUUCGUUGUCUGACAUUGCCUUUGCCACUCCUUCUUCCUUCCUCCCACCUUUGCCUUCCCCACCACCUCCUCGAAAUUCCCCUGCCUUCAUCUCUGGCCCUGCUGACGACUUCGCCAUGUGAGUUGUCAGUUUUUGCUACCAGUGAUUUCUUUUCUUCAAGCAAAAGAGAGAAGAGUUUAUUUUAUUCUCAGCAGCAUCCCUGGCCAGACUCGGCAAAGUAGGUUUGUCUCCUCCUGACCCACAGCCAUGGGUUCUUUGUACAUCCCUGCCUCCUACAGUCAGAUGAAGCUGUAUCUCCAAUUCCAUCCAAUGGUCUGUGAGAAGAGGGAGUACAUGUCACUCCCAUGCCAAAGCACACAAAAGCAGAUGUGGGUCCUCCAUGAGCGCUCUUCCCCUUCUGUGGUGACCAUGCGGGAGUAAUAUUGCAGAUGAUGCAGCUAAGACUAGACAGUCAAUGGAUCCUGCCAGCAGCCUGGAUCCUUGAGUGGCUGUGUGGAGCAGAGCCCCCUGACAUUACCUGCUAGGCAUACCACAUGAGCUGUCAAAUAAACACAUUGCUAAGAGGGUCACCUCAACCCGUAGGAACUUCUUUCCUGCCAAGUAACUGGUUCAUUCAUCACUGAGCAUCAUCGUCAUGGAAUGUAAGUACACGCUUUGCUCUGGGCUCUCACUCCCACUGGAACUGGGACCUGGACUCAGCCACUGCUCAAUUUUCAGAAGUGAAGUUGUCUGUGGGGAAGACAAAACCUUGUUUGACAUAGUCAUCACCACGUGGAAGCUGUGUGUGUCUGUGCCAAUUUACACAGCAUCAAGGUGUUAGGUUUGCUACUUGGAUUUUUGGCUACACUGGGAAACGUACUGCAGGUUUAGGGAAGCUUGGUUUUUCCUGGCUUUGGUGCUAUCUUCUAGAUGUAAGGGGACCUGUAACAGCUGAGUUGAGAGGUAAACCA